rnacentral:misc_RNA from 1 species
UGAAACACUAAAUUAGCUUUGGUAUCCAAAAAACCGAAGAAACUAACCCAAAAAAAAAUCAAAUUGUAGAUGUGAGCAUGCUUAUUAAUAUUGAUAGUUCAAAUGACUUGAAGUGAUCCCUUCAUACUAAUAUGUGGCCGUACCUUUGUAAAAAAAGGUCAACUUGAAAUUUCAUCCAAAAAAAACUGUGAGCAGAUUUUACAGAGAAGCAUAAAUUUGGGAAUUUUGCCUCAUGAGUUAUCCAUUCACAAGCGGCUAAGAUUUUGUCAAACUUGAAGCAGAAUGCAAAAAAUAAAAACUUCAACCAAGCAGAUAAGAGACCAGAUAGAAACUGGAAAGUGAA